CACACAGAUCAUCAUCUCCCCCAAACCCCCAAACCCUUCUCAACCCUCAAACAUAACCCUUCCCACUCGACCAUGGCGAACUCUCACCAUGGCAAGCUCUCUCUCGUGAUCUCCCAUGGCGAGCUCUUACCAUGUCCUCCCUGCGGCAUUCUCUCUCAUCUCGUGUCGAUCUCCUCUCCGCGAAACAUCUUCGCCUAGGUCGAUCUCUGCAAAGGGGAGAAGGCUCGUAGCAUACGAAAUACAAGAAACCGUGCAAUGUUGGAAACAACUCAUACUGCUGGAACGAAAAGUUUUGCACGUGUAGCGGAGGAAAUGGUUCAAGUAUAUAUUCGUGGAGCCGAUCAGAAUUCGUUUAUGCACUUUUUGAUUUUGUUAUCAUACAAUUUUUGAUUUUUUGUAUUUCUUUCAGUUAGAGAGUUUGAUUUGUUAUAAUUACUACAACAUAUGAGUGGAUAUUAUUGUUGUGACGUAUGGAUAUUUGAUUUUAGUUUUAUCUUUUUAACAA